GCGGAUGUGACCUAGUGGUAAAGGUGUCGCCCUCCCAAAUCCCGGUCAGGCGAAAACCCGAGUUCGAAUCUUCGGCAUUCGCA
rnacentral:tRNA from 1 species